ensembl:lncRNA
GCCACAUUAUGUUCUGCGAAUCGUCACCUCUUUCUCUCAUAGUGCAUCAAAAUGAUUUUAGAAUACAAAAAUUAGUACAGCCUCUCCUUAUUAUGCAUCAACACAUAACAUAUUUGACAAAAAAAUAAUAAAACCACAUACCUGCAUCCAAAAGGAAAUCAAACAUUUGUAGAGCCACAUUAUGUUCUGAGAAUCGUCACCUCUUUCUACAACAGAUGCACGAUAGGAGGGUCUGGGAUCAUUCGAGGAGCUGGCCAUCGUUCACACAUACAAUAAAAUAGCCUGCUAUUAACCACAUGUUGAAUUCAGAAUGUUGAUAUCAUCCUAAAAAGUACAAUUACAAGUGCAUCUUAACAAUACCAUCCACUUAUGAGUAACCUCUAAAUAUACAACAUUAUUCAUUGAACAAAACACUGUGUGAAUGACUUUGUGCUUAAAAGAAUCAAAAGUUUCUGAAGACAGAAAAGGCGCGCCUACCUCUCAUAGUGCGUCAAAAUGAUUUGAGCACGAGCACGCAGGGCAAAACGUAAGUACCCACUCCCCUUCUCCCAGGAUGCAGCAUAAUGACAGAUCAACACGACAUAUUAAUAUAUGAAGCUGGUGAAAUACAUAGUACUUUAACAACUGUUACAUACACAAAUAUAUAUAUUAUACACUACAUUAAAUCAAUAUUUAUACUUUGUACAUUUUGAAUGAAUAGCAGGACAGAAAAUAAUUGUCCAAUUCACGCACUUAUCAUGACCCUGGUCAUCCCUAUUGCCUCUGAUCUGGCGGGCUCACUAAACACAAAUGUUUCGUUUGUAAAUCAUGUCUGAGUGUUGGAGCAUGCCCCUGGCUAUCCGUAAAUGUAAAAAAAAAAAAAAAAAAAAUAAAAUGGUGCCUUCUGGUUUGUUUAAUAUAUGGAAUUUGAAAUUAUUUAUACUUUUACUUUCCAUACUUAAGUAUAUUUUAUCAAAUACAUUUACUUUUGAUACUUAAAUAUAUUUAAAAUCAAACACUUUUAGACUUGAACUCAAGUAGUAUUUUACUGGGUGACUUCCCCUUGAGAAAUGUUCUAUCAAGGUAUCUUUACUUUUACUCAAGAUUCACAAUUGGGUACUUUUUCCACCACUUGGGCCAGUAACCGAAAGGUUGCUGGAU